AACAACCACAGGUUCUUUGCCUCAAGACAAACGCCCAACAGCAACUGCACUCCUACAACUGGGGAAUCAAGGACAAAGCACCUCACACUGGAUUACAGCCUGGUCACAUGGAACAGAACAAGCACUGAACACAGAGAAUCACGAAAGGGAGAGGCAGUGCUCUACCAGGUGCAGAGAACAGGAUGUUUUCUACUCCCAAUACUAUGCAGACCUCAAACGAAGCCUAAAGCAAGACCAGUAGCUUUGACCAGUGUAAUUCCAGCUAUUUCUCUGUGUAGUUGCCAGCCAUUGGGGUCCUCUGUCUUUGCAAGCUGCGUGACAGACAUUGUGUAAAAGGUGAAGUAAUGCCCACCACGAUGGGAAUGGAGCAAAGGCAUUAACACCUACUACUCUAGUGUCAUGCAGCUUUCAAAGCUGCAGGAUGUUUGGCAAAUGUUGUCCAUAUGUGUUUUUCUUUCACAACUCACUCCUGCUGCUUUAGGAAAGGCAGGAUAUACAUUGAAACAAUAAAUACAUCUCUGAUGAUGUUUAAUAAAGGUUUUCAUUUCGGUGCAGCUGUUUCUUUGUUAGUGGGGAUGGCAGAUAGGGAUCCCCUAACCCACACCCACCCCGGUUCUCACUAGCCUCAGUAGGAGGAGCCUCGAGGGAUUUUCAUGCUAUUAGGGCUCAAUGUUUGCAAUGACUCCAUCCUCUGGCCAUUUGCACUUCAACAAGGGUAAGGGAGCAGCCUCCUCAGAGCUCCCAGGUGGACUGGUCACUGCUGCUAUGAAUGACACAGUUGCUGGCAUUGGGGUGGAGGAGGCAAAAUGGAUUA